UGGGGAAUAUUGGACAAUGGGCGCAAGCCUGAUCCAGCCAUGCCGCGUGGAUGAUGAAGGCCCUAGGGUUGUAAAGUCCUUUCGACGGGGAAGAUAAUGACGGUACCCGUAGAAGAAGCCCCGGCUAACUUCGUGCCAGCAGCCGCGGUAAUACGAAGGGGGCUAGCGUUGCUCGGAAUCACUGGGCGUAAAGCGCACGUAGGCGGCUUUUUAAGUCAGGGGUGAAAUCCCGGAGCUCAACUCCGGAACUGCCUUUGAUACUGAGAAGCUUGAGUUCGGGAGAGGUGAGUGGAACUGCGAGUGUAGAGGUGAAAUUCGUAGAUAUUCGCAAGAACACCAGUGGCGAAGGCGGCUCACUGGCCCGAUACUGACGCUGAGGUGCGAAAGCGUGGGGAGCAAACA
rnacentral:rRNA from 1 species